rnacentral:rRNA from 1 species
UACGGGGGGGGCAAGCGUUGUUCGGAAUUACUGGGCGUAAAGGGCGCGUAGGCGGCCUUCUAAGUCAGACGUGAAAUCCCUCGGCUCAACCGAGGAACUGUGUCUGAUACUGGAAGGCUUGAAUCCGGGAGAGGGAUGUGGAAUUCCAGGUGUAGCGGUGAAAUGCGUAGAUAUUGGGAAGAACACCGGUGGCGAAGGCGGCUCACUGGCUCGUUUCUGACGCUCAGGCGCGACAGCGUGGGGAUCAAACAGG